GGUUAAAUAACAUAAUUGGCUAAUGUGUUAGAUUGCAAAUCUUGAAAUACUGGUUCGAGUCCAGUUUUAACCU
rnacentral:tRNA from 1 species